AGGACGAACGCUGGCGGCGUGCUUAACACAUGCAAGUCGAGCGGAAAGGCCCUUCGGGGUACUCGAGCGGCGAACGGGUGAGUAACACGUGAGCAACCUGCCCUUGGCUCUGGGAUAGCCUCCGGAAACGGGGAUUAAUACCGGACAUUCACUUUUCUCCUGCAUGGGGGGUUGGUGGAAAGUUUUUCGGCCAGGGAGGGCUCGCGGCCUAUCAGCUUGUUGGCGGGGUAACGGCCCACAAGGCGACGACGGGUAGCCGGCCUGAGAGGGCGAUCGGCCACACUGGGACUGAGACACGGCCCAGACUCCUACGGGAGGCAGCAGUGGGGAAUAUUGCACAAUGGGCGCAAGCCUGAUGCAGCGACGCCGCGUGGGGGAUGAAGGCCUUCGGGUUGUAAACCCUUUCACCAGGAGCGAAUUCAGACGGUACCGUGGGGAAGAAGCGCCGGCUAACUACGUGCCAGCAGCCGC
rnacentral:rRNA from 1 species